rnacentral:miRNA from 2 species
UAAUCUCAGCUGGUAAUAUAUGA